rnacentral:rRNA from 1 species
CAGUCGCCGCGGGAAUACGAAGGGUGCAAGCGUUACUCGGAUUUACUGGGCGUAAAGCGUGCGUAGGCGGCUUCUUAAGUCGGAUGUGAAAUCCCUUAGCUUAACUUAGGAAUUGCAUUCGAUACUGGGAAGCUAGAGUAUGGGAGAGGAUGGUAGAAUUCCAGGUGUAGCGGUGAAAUGCGUAGAGAUCUGGAGGAAUACCGAUGGCGAAGGCAGCCAUCUGGCCUAAUACUGACGCUGAGGUACGAAAGCAUGGGGAGCAAACAGGAUUAGAUACCCCAGUAGUCCCUGUCUCUUAUAC